AUGAAGACACUAACUGGAUCUUUGUUCUUGUUUUUCUGGCUGCAGCUAGAUUGCACAAGUAGAGGAGAGGAGGUGAAGCAGAGUCCUUUCCUGAGUGUCCGAGAGGGAGACAACUCCGUUAUCAACUGUACUUACACAGACAGUACCUCCACCUACUUCUACUGGUAUAAGCAAGGACCUGAAGGCCUCCAGUGGCUUAUAACUAUUCUUUCAAAUGCAGAGAAGAAACAAGACGGAAGACUCUCUGUCUGGUUGAAUAAGACGGAAAAACAUCUCUCCCUGAACAUCUCAGACACCCAACCUGGAGACUCAGCUGUCUACUUCUGUGCAACGAGUACACAUUGCUUCUCAGGCACCUGCAGCCUGUACCCAAACCUAUGA